rnacentral:rRNA from 1 species
GAGAUAACUCCUACGGGAGGCAGCAGUGGGGAAUAUUGGACAAUGGGCGAAAGCCUGAUCCAGCCAUGCCGCGUGUGUGAAGAAGGUCUUCGGAUUGUAAAGCACUUUAAGUUGGGAGGAAGGGCAGUAAGUUAAUACCUUGCUGUUUUGACGUUACCAACAGAAUAAGCACCGGCUAACUUCGUGCCAGCAGCCGCGGUAAUACGAGGGGUGCAAGCGUUAAUCGGAAUUACUGGGCGUAAAGCGCGCGUAGGUGGUUUGUUAAGUUGAAUGUGAAAUCCCCGGGCUCAACCUGGGAACUGCAUCCAAAACUGGCAAGCUAGAGUAUGGUAGAGGGUAGUGGAAUUUCCUGUGUAGCGGUGAAAUGCGUAGAUAUAGGAAGGAACACCAGUGGCGAAGGCGACUACCUGGACUGAUACUGACACUGAGGUGCGAAAGCGUGGGGAGCAAACAUGAUUAGAUACCCCAGUAGUCCUCCACU